UGUGAAACAAAAAUCAGUUUCCAGCAGCUGUUGGUGGUAAAGUGUCCAGUGCCCACCACAGCCAGAGAGAAAGCUGCUGAAUAUUUUGAAUUUCCCUCGGGAUUAAUAAAGCGUCUGUCCGUCGAGUCGUCGGAUCCUCUUGAUCCUCAUCAGGGUCAUGGGGGGCUGGAGUCUAUCCCAGCUGACUGCGGGUGAAGGCAGGGGACACCUGGACAGGUAACAGUCUAUCACAGGUUCACCUGGACAGGUAACUGUAUCACAGGGCUACACAGAGAGACAAACAUUCACACCUAUGGACAGUUUAGAAUCACCAAUUGACCUCAGCAUGUUUCUGGACUGUGGGAGAACCUGGAGGAAACCCACGCAUGUACAGGAGAACAUGGAGACUCCAUGCAGGAAGAUCCCAGGAAGGCUGGGACACAAACCGAGGAUCUUCUAGCUGUGAGGCGACGGAGCUAACCACCAAGCUACUGUGCAGCCUGCUGCUACUAUUAUUUUUUUUAUUGUCUAAUAUUCAGAUUAUUGUCCAGAUGAGUAGUUGAUCAUUCUGUUAAUUGCUUGUCAGAAAAUUGGUUAAAAAAAAAAAAAAAAAAUAUGGGAUGCCAGAUUGAACAGGCCACACACCUGAAUAUAUUGAAUUUGUAAUAGCAACAACAACAACCUGGUUGUGUCACAUUUCUGUGCGUUACAAAAUGUGUUAGGUGGGAAAUAAUAAUAAUUAGAAUUACUAUGAUGUCAAAAACGUACAGAGGAAGGAGAAAAUGAGAUUGAAAACCUAAAUGCAGGAUCUAAAAUCAUAAAGUGGGCAUAAAUGCUUUCUUACAGUGACAUAAAAAAACUGAAAAUACACACAUUUGACUUUUUUCUUAAGUGAUGCAGUAGAUGUAUUAAUUGUCAGAAUAAUUCAAACCCAAUUUGCUGUUGCUGUCAGCUGUUUUGUGUAGGUAUUAUGUUUGAAAAUGAGUUAGAAGACCAAAUGCAGUUGUCUUUUGUGCUUUUUUUUAAUUGACUUUUAUUUCUAAAAAUGUAAUUCUCAGUACCUCAGCUAAAAUGCUGUGCAAUUAUGUCUCACUGGGGCAUUCAACAGACUCACUGUCAAAACAACCACUUGUGAUUUCUGCUGUUAAAGUUUUGCAGAGGUUUUAGCUAAGUGUGUGUACAUGUGUAAUUGUGGUGCAUAACCUUUCAUGCUUCUGUUUAAAUUGCUUGAAGCGGACCAGCGGUCAUCAAGCUUUCUGUAUCAGCAGAACGAUGGUGCCGCCGCUGUUUGCUAACAUGGUUCACUUUGUGUGUCUCUGCAGGGGGAGGUGGUGCACUGGCUGGCCUGUUGGCUGGAUGCAGCCUGCAGGAAGGGCUCCACUCCCACAGUGGGUAAAGGACUGAUGGAGGGAGGAUCCUUCACUCGUCCAAACUCAGUCUGAUCCAGUUCUUCUCUAAGAUGAGGAAGUGGGCCGACAUGUCCAACCUCUCGCAGGACUUCAGGCUACAAAUGGAUGGCUGGAGCGAAACUUUGAGGUCUCCACCGUGAUCUUCCGCAAGUUUGAUGUCUUGAUUUAGUAGUAAGAGACUUCCUUUUUGUCCAAACCAUUUGACUCUGAUGGUGUGUGUCCACUGCAUUCAAUGUUCAACAAGUGAGCAAUGGUUUUGUUUCCAUGAAUAUAAACAUAUAUGAAGAGUACAUUG